rnacentral:rRNA from 1 species
GGCCUUGACAUACUAAGAACUUUCCAGAGAUGGAUUGGUGCCUUCGGGAACUUAGAUACAGGUGCUGCAUGGCUGUCGUCAGCUCGUGUCGUGAGAUGUUGGGUUAAGUCCGCAACGAGCGCAACCCUUUUCCUUAUUUGCCAGCGGGUCAUGCCGGGAACUUUAAGGAUACUGCCAGUGACAAACUGGAGGAAGGCGGGGACGACGUCAAGUCAUCAUGGCCCUUACGGCCAGGGCUACACACGUGCUACAAUGGUCGGUACAAAGGGUUGCUACCUCGCGAGAGGAUGCUAAUCUCAAAAAGCCGAUCGUAGUCCGGGUCGCAGUCUGCAACUCGACUGCGUGAAGUCGGAAUCGCUAGUAAUCGCGGAUCAGAAUGCCGCGGUGAAUACGUUCCCGGGCCUUGUACACACCGCCCGUCACACCAUGGGAGUUUGUUGCACCAGAAGUAGGUAGUCUAACCGCAAGGAGGACGCUUACCACGGUGUGGCCGAUGACUGGGGUGAAGUCGUAACAAGGUAGGCGUAGAUGA